ACGGACACUUGCGUCAUUUCACAAUUCGUCAGUAUAAACGAAUUUCCGUAUAACUGAAACCAGCUUCUUACUGAAAGAGUGUAUAUAUAUAUAUAUAACUGGUAUGAACAUUUCCUGUGUUUUGUUUGAGAUUCAUUAGGACAUUGUCAUAACUUAAUCAUUUGUAUAUCAUUUCUCAAUGUUUCUUCCAUGCAUUUCUAUGAUUUGUUAAUUGUUAUAUAUAUUUCUGAUAUUAAAUUCUUGUAUUGUUUUUACAAAAUAAUAAAAGAAUAAUAUUGAGUGGUUAUGUUUGUUAUUUAUAUAAGAAUUUUCAUGUUUUAUGUGUGCAGUUUAAAAAGACAACGUUUAUAACUAGUACACAAUGUUACUAUUUUCCGUUUUUUUAGAGAUGUCGUAUUUUAGAAGUUAACAGGCAAGUGCACUUCCGGUUGAAUGGUUCGUCUGCUACAGAAAAGAAGACUGCAUGCAUCGUCGAACAGGAGUGUUACUUAGAGAGUGUCUGAAAUGCCUGCAGAAAGAAAAGGUGAACGAGUUUUACUCAUUGGUAAUUUGAAUUGAACACCUCGCCUUCAAAUAGCCCCAUUUCACAGUUUGACUACGACUGCUUUCGGUGUUAUUUCAGUAAAGAAAAAUGGUCUUCGCGAUCUCAUUUCUACACCCAGGGAGAAAUAACUGACAGAGAGCUAGGCAGUAUAGCAGGAGGGUUGUACAAUCAUGUGGGAGAAAUCAAAAUCAGCUGGUUCCUUUUUUCUUCAACCUGUUCGACCAUUCUUUUGGGCUGCAGAUGAUAGGGAGCUUAAGUCCUGGAAAAGUCAUUUUGAGAGGAGAAUUCAGACCGGUGACUUUGGCAUCACGCUACAGGCAGUGCUGCCAAGUAUUUUGGCACCCACGUCAUUUCAGAGAGACAAGCUUGUGAAACAAGUGGAGACAGUGCUUUCCCACAUGUCGGUCCUUGAACCAGAAGGAAGUUCAGAGGAACUGUUCAGGUGCUCCACUGUUGGUCUUAUUGGUCAACACUUACAUGAUCUCAGGAAGAAUUCGUUUGAGACUCCAAAGACAUCUUCUGACGUAAAACGUUCCACCCUGAGUUUGGAAGAGUUUGUAAUGUGUGAGAUGCAAGUGGCUGAUAUGGACAUAUUUCUGGACGCGUUGGACCUAGGGUUGUCAGACACAGAUCUUAAAGAAGAUGGCUUUGAGCAGAUUAGCAUUGAGGAAACUGUUGAUGACAUGCCUCGUUUUGUUUCACCAGAAGAACAUCCUGCAAAAGACAUACAGAAGUGGCGGGGGGAAGUGCAUCCCUCGAACCAACCCAACGACGUGAUGACUGCCCAGCCUGAUGUUAAGUAUGAGGGGGCUGCGGACGACCAUCACGUAAAGCCGCCAAACAAUUUUCAGAAUAACACCAUACAGAUUCCUGACAGCCUUGGAAAAAAUCAAGAUGAUUCAGUUGGUGAGAACAGCCAACAGGACACUAACAAUUCUGGAGGUGACAAGCAUAGUUGGUUUAGAAACAAAGUCGGUCCGAUUCCAUCCAACCAAAAUAACCACGCCGCUGAUAGUCCUUCAAAGAAUUCAGGGGAAAAGAAAAUACUUGGAAUGACAAAUAUGGCGUACCAGACGUCGGGACUUUCAUUAGGUUUUGCAGAGUCAGCCAAGAGGUUGAUUAGGGGAGUUUUAACGAACAGCGCAGAAAAGUUGAACGUCGAGGUAAUGAAAGAUGAUUCACCCUUGAUGGGUGUCGAGGGAUACAAACAUUACAAAAUGUUUGCAAUGAUAGAAUAUGCGACAGAACUGACACGUCUUGAGCAAGUGAAGGAGCAAACGGUCUCCGAGUACAAGUGGAAAAUACGCACAGUUGAGGAAGUCGGCGAGGUAGCAAAAGCCUACUAUCAUGACCCUGCUGGGCGUGGCAGGAGGAGAUGGAAUGAGCUGAGGAGGGAAAUUGCCCAACACAGCAAACACAGUAUCACGGACACCAGAGCCAAGUUGGCAACCCUGACUCAUUACAAGCCAAUCUUCACUUACGCUGUUAUGAUGCUUCAGGUUCUGGUGCUCGUUGUGAUGAUCUCCCUCAAUGGCAUGGCUACUGUGGAUGCUGCAUCUGGGCUGCACUUGCAGGAUAACACCAGGACCUUCCUGGGUGUCGAGACUGUGGACAGCCGGCAACAAGUCAACAUGUGGGUGGGGCCUUCUUCCAGUUUCUUCAUAGGAAUGGGUGCGUUGUUGAGUGUGUGCAUGAGGGAUGACCACAAUCUGCACAUGCAGGGAAUAGCACAGAACUACAGUGCAGACAACGCCCUGGGGUGUUGUGAGGUGAAGACCAGAAACACUGCAGCAACUACCACCCAGGAGGAGUGCCAGUCACUUACUCUAGGUGUAGGUCUCUGGAGGGAGGUACCCUGUGGCCAGAGACAACCUGGGGAGAACUAUGUGGAGCAUGUCCUCAAACCCUGCUGUACUGAUGAGAGGGGCACCUGCUUACUCCUAUCAAAUGAACACUGCAGUUUUCUCGGAGGAAUCUUUCAUGAAAAGGAAAAGGAACACUGUUCUCAGUUCCUUCCAAUGGUGGCGCCCACUCUUGUCUCUGGUGUACACCCAUGGUGUAGUACAUUUGCUGUUGCUGCUGGUGGCUGAGUGGCUACUUCUGCGGCAAGUGGAGAUGUCAGCUGGGUGUUUGCGGGUGGCCGUUAUAUAUUUCAUCUGUGGAGCCGCAGGUGGUAUGUGUGCAUCAGUUGUCUCCCCCUACAGCCCCCAGGUUUGCACGACAGCUGCCGUAAUGAGUUCACUAGGUGUAUUACACAUGGAGCUCAUCGAGGCUUGGACCCUUCUCACGCGACCAUGGCUGGAACUUGUCAA
rnacentral:misc_RNA from 1 species